rnacentral:rRNA from 1 species
UACGUAGGGAGCGAGCGUUGUCCGGAUUUACUGGGUGUAAAGGGUGCGUAGGCGGCUAAACAAGUCAGACGUGAAAGGCAUGUGCUUAACACAUGGAAUGCGUUUGAAACUGUAUAGCUUGAGUGGAGUAGAGGUAAGUGGAAUUCCCGGUGUAGCGGUGAAAUGCGUAGAGAUCGGGAGGAACACCAGUGGCGAAGGCGACUUACUGGGCUUCAACUGACGCUGAGGCACGAAAGCGUGGGGAGCGAAC